AAUUAUUGGGCGUAAAGAGCUCGUACGGAGUUUGUCGCGUCUGCUGUGAAAACGCGGGGCUCAACUCCGCGCCUGCAGUGGGUACGGGCAGACUAGAGUGCGGUAGGGGAGAUUGGAAUUCCUGGUGUAGCGGUGGAAUGCGCAGAUAUCAGGAGGAACACCGAUGGCGAAGGCAGAUCUCUGGGCCGUGACUGACGCUGAGGAGCGAAAGGGUGGGGAGCAAACAGGCUUAGAUACCCUGGUAGUCCACCCCGUAAACGUUGGGAACUAGUUGUGGGGGCCUUUCCACGGUCUCCGUGACGCAGCUAACGCAUUAAGUUCCCCGCCUGGGGAGUACGGCCGCAAGGCUAAAACUCAAAGGAAUUGACGGGGACCCGCACAAGCGGCGGAGCAUGCGGAUUAAUUCGAUGCAACGCGAAGAACCUUACCAAGGCUUGACAUACACCGGAAACGUCCAGAGAUGGUCGCCCCUUUUUGGUCGGUGUACAGGUGGUGCAUGGUUGUCGUCAGCUCGUGUCGUGAGAUGUUGGGUUAAGUCCCGCAACGAGCGCAACCCUCGUUCUAUGUUGCCAGCACGUUAUGGUGGGAACUCAUGGGAUACUGCCGGGGUCAAC
rnacentral:rRNA from 1 species